ACUUAAAUUGAAGAGUUUGAUCAUGGCUCAGAUUGAACGCUGGCGGCAGGCCUAACACAUGCAAGUCGAGCGGUAGCACAGAGAGCUUGCUCUCGGGUGACGAGCGGCGGACGGGUGAGUAAUGUCUGGGAAACUGCCUGAUGGAGGGGGAUAACUACUGGAAACGGUAGCUAAUACCGCAUAACGUCGCAAGACCAAAGUGGGGGACCUUCGGGCCUCAUGCCAUCAGAUGUGCCCAGAUGGGAUUAGCUAGUAGGUGGGGUAACGGCUCACCUAGGCGACGAUCCCUAGCUGGUCUGAGAGGAUGACCAGCCACACUGGAACUGAGACACGGUCCAGACUCCUACGGGAGGCAGCAGUGGGGAAUAUUGCACAAUGGGCGCAAGCCUGAUGCAGCCAUGCCGCGUGUAUGAAGAAGGCCUUCGGGUUGUAAAGUACUUUCAGCGGGGAGGAAGGCGAUAAGGUUAAUAACCUUGUCGAUUGACGUUACCCGCAGAAGAAGCACCGGCUAACUCCGUGCCAGCAGCCGCGGUAAUACGGAGGGUGCAAGCGUUAAUCGGAAUUACUGGGCGUAAAGCGCACGCAGGCGGUCUGUCAAGUCGGAUGUGAAAUCCCCGGGCUCAACCUGGGAACUGCAUUCGAAACUGGCAGGCUAGAGUCUUGUAGAGGGGGGUAGAAUUCCAGGUGUAGCGGUGAAAUGCGUAGAGAUCUGGAGGAAUACCGGUGGCGAAGGCGGCCCCCUGGACAAAGACUGACGCUCAGGUGCGAAAGCGUGGGGAGCAAACAGGAUUAGAUACCCUGGUAGUCCACGCCGUAAACGAUGUCGAUUUGGAGGUUGUGCCCUUGAGGCGUGGCUUCCGGAGCUAACGCGUUAAAUCGACCGCCUGGGGAGUACGGCCGCAAGGUUAAAACUCAAAUGAAUUGACGGGGGCCCGCACAAGCGGUGGAGCAUGUGGUUUAAUUCGAUGCAACGCGAAGAACCUUACCUGGUCUUGACAUCCACAGAACUUAGCAGAGAUGCUUUGGUGCCUUCGGGAACUGUGAGACAGGUGCUGCAUGGCUGUCGUCAGCUCGUGUUGUGAAAUGUUGGGUUAAGUCCCGCAACGAGCGCAACCCUUAUCCUUUGUUGCCAGCGGUUCGGCCGGGAACUCAAAGGAGACUGCCAGUGAUAAACUGGAGGAAGGUGGGGAUGACGUCAAGUCAUCAUGGCCCUUACGACCAGGGCUACACACGUGCUACAAUGGCGCAUACAAAGAGAAGCGACCUCGCGAGAGCAAGCGGACCUCAUAAAGUGCGUCGUAGUCCGGAUUGGAGUCUGCAACUCGACUCCAUGAAGUCGGAAUCGCUAGUAAUCGUAGAUCAGAAUGCUACGGUGAAUACGUUCCCGGGCCUUGUACACACCGCCCGUCACACCAUGGGAGUGGGUUGCAAAAGAAGUAGGUAGCUUAACCUUCGGGAGGGCGCUUACCACUUUGUGAUUCAUGACUGGGGUGAAGUCGUAACAAGGUAACCGUAGGGGAACCUGCGGUUGGAUCACCUCCUUACCUUAAAGAA
rnacentral:rRNA from 1 species